GCCUGAAAAAGGUAGCUCAGUUGGGAGAGCGUUAGACUGAAGAUCUAAAGGUCCCUGGUUCAAUCCAGGGUUUUGGCA
rnacentral:tRNA from 1 species